rnacentral:tRNA from 1 species
GUUGUAGAGCAACUUAACUGGUAGAGCAUUUGGCGCGUAACCAAAAGAUCCAAGUUCGAGUCCUGGUCUGGGCU